GCAUAAUCAACUUAUAUCAUGCAUAAUGUUGGAGUAAAAAUGAAGAAAAACACAACAAAACUAGAUUCAUCUCACCGGAUCAGCAGCGGCAGGUUAGAUCAAUGCAGUGAUCACACUCAGGCGAGGAAACAUGUGUUAAUUACGCUUGGCACGGAGUUCACGGAAUUCACGAAUCACUGUGUCAAUAUUGUCAUACAGGUCAAAUUUAAUGCGCUCUUGUCGUUUAGUAAGCGCGAACACAGAGCCAUUGAAGAACCACGUUGACUCUAUGUCUUUGUGGAGCUGAAGUCGGCUCAUCAGUCCUGUAUUAAGGGCGGUGACGUCAUCAACCAGGCGCCGGCCAGCGUUCUUCAUUUCUUUUCGCUUCCUCAUCACUGCGCUUUUAUCGUCGUUAUUCCUGAGCUUUAUGAGAACAGGUCUUGUCUGCCCCUUUUUAGUAGGGAUUCGAUGCAUAGCAACGAUCUGUUCUGGCUUGAUAUCAAUAUUUUGUUGUAGAAAUAAAGCUGUUAUUUUUGCCGAGAGAGUUGGUAUGUUUUCGUAUUGGUCCUCUUUAACAUCCAUAAUUUUUAUAUUGUUUUUUCUCGAAUACUGUUCAUUGUGAUUGGAUCUCUUGCUGUUUUCUUCAUUUAACCGUGCGUUGUUAUUUAUACGUUCGUUCAUACUUUCUAUUGCUGUUUUGUGUUCUUUUAUUAAUUCAACUUGUUUUUCUCGUAGAGCUUCGUUUUCAAAUUGUAAGCUUUUUAUUUGGUCAGCAAAUUCUUUGGUUAUUUCCUUCAAGCUAUUUUCUGUGAUUUUAAUUAGUUUAUUUUCAAGUUCCAGUUCACGCCGGGUAUGCGAAUACUUCGUUUACGGAUGGCACUUCACUAACAGAGAACAACAAACGCCACGCGCUAGAGGAUCAGCUGAGGAUAUUACUCAAUUGCCGAGUUCCCCGGACUAUUCUGUGAACAGCAGAACAUAACCAUGUGUGAUCUGCAGAAUGAGAACAUUAGCAAAUUAAAACCUGAUUUUGCACUAUCAAAUGGUCUUGUAACAACUACAUUGAAUGCUUAGUUUUUAUAUUAUUGACAUGUUGUGUUGUUUUGUUAUAUUUUGUGAUGUCUUUAUUCGACAAAAAAAAGUCGAAAAUAAAAAUA